rnacentral:rRNA from 1 species
UAAUUGAAGAGUUUGAUCAUGGCUCAGAUUGAACGCUGGCGGCAGGCCUAACACAUGCAAGUCGAGCGGUAACAGGAGAAAGCUUGCUUUCUUGCUGACGAGCGGCGGACGGGUGAGUAAUGUAUGGGGAUCUGCCCGAUAGAGGGGGAUAACUACUGGAAACG